rnacentral:rRNA from 1 species
UACGUAGGGUGCAAGCGUUAAUCGGAAUUACUGGGCGUAAAGCGUGCGCAGGCGGUUUUGUAAGUCUGUCGUGAAAUCCCCGGGCUCAACCUGGGAAUUGCGAUGGAGACUGCAAGGCUAGAAUCUGGCAGAGGGGGGUAGAAUUCCACGUGUAGCAGUGAAAUGCGUAGAGAUGUGGAGGAACACCGAUGGCGAAGGCAGCCCCCUGGGUCAAGAUUGACGCUCAUGCACGAAAGC